AGCUCCAAUAGCGUAUAUUAAAGUUGUUGCAGUUAAAAAGCUCGUAGUUGGAUUUCGGGGCGGUCUGGUCGGUCCACCGCAAGGUGCGUCACUGGCCAGGCUGUUCUUCCUCGCAAAGACUGCGUGUGCUCUUAGCUGAGUGUGCGUAGGACUUGCGACGUUUACUUUGAAAAAAUUAGAGUGUUCAAAGCAGGCCUUGGCUUGAAUACAUAAGCAUGGAAUAAUGGAAUAGGACGUGGUUUCUAUUUUGUUGGUUUCUGGAACCCACGUAAUGAUUAACAGAGAUUGUUGGGGGCAUUCGUAUUUCGUUGUCAGAGGUGAAAUUCUUGGAUUUACGAAAGACGAACAACUGCGAAAGCAUUCGCCAAGAGUGUUUUCAUUAAUCAAGAACGAAAGUAGG
rnacentral:rRNA from 1 species